CUAGGCCAAAUUCUGGGGGGCUUUGAGAGAGUGUGAGAAAAUUUAGAAAGGGUUUUGAAUUUUUUUUAAGAGGGGUAUAAAUGAUUUUUUUGGCAAGAAUCUGACUUUUAUAGUUGGUCCAAACGGCGCCAUUUUGAAGGUUGUCCUUAGAGGCCAAAACGACGUCGUUUUGGCCUCUGACCCAUGAUCCGACCCGUCUGCCC
rnacentral:lncRNA from 1 species